rnacentral:sRNA from 1 species
AUGACUGAUGCAUCAGAUAGAGGGAUUGGGGCAGUACUAAUGCAGUAUCAAGAGAACUCCAAGAUGCCUAUAGCAUAUGCAAGUAGGAAACUUAAGAAGAGUGAAGUGGCUUAUUCCACUAUUGAAAAAGAGUGUUUAGCCAUCGGUUGGGCUGUGCAGAAAUUUCAAAGGUAUUUAUACGGUAGAGAAUUUAUACUUGAGACUGACCACCAGCCACUUACUUAUCUUAAUGAGAAGAAAGUAGAGAAUGCUAGACUUAUGAGGUGGGCAUUAGCUCUACAGCCUUACAGAUUUAGAAUUGUAGCAGUGAAAGGUAUAGAUAAUGUGGGUGCAGAUUAUCUCAGUAGGGUUUAG